rnacentral:rRNA from 1 species
CCUACGGGGGGCAGCAGUGGGGAAUAUUGGACAAUGGGGGGAACCCUGAUCCAGCCAUGCCGCGUGUGUGAAGAAGGACCUCGGGUUGUAAAGCACUUUCAGUGAGGAAGAACGCCUGGUGGUUAAUACCCAUCAGGAAAGACAUCACUCACAGAAGAAGCACCGGCUAACUCCGUGCCAGCAGCCGCGGUAAUACGGAGGGUGCGAGCGUUAAUCGGAAUUACUGGGCGUAAAGCGCGCGUAGGUGGCUUGAUAAGCCGGUUGUGAAAGCCCCGGGCUCAACCUGGGGACGGCAUCCGGAACGGGGGAGAGGGUGUGCAGGAGAGGGAGGUGGAACUCCUGGUGUAGCGGGGCACUGCGUAGAGAUUGGGAGGGUGGCCAGUGGCGAAGGCGGCCUGCACGACUUUAACUGACUCUGAGGUGCGAAAUCGUGGGGAGCAAACAGGACGAGAUGCCGCUGGAGGC